rnacentral:rRNA from 1 species
UACUAAUGCAACUGCGAAUAGCUGUUUAAUACAGUCGCAAUUGUAUUGACUUAGUAUGUUAUAAAUAGUUAUGUAAUAGGAUAACUAAGGGAAAGUUUGGCUAAUACGUUUAAUUUUACACAUGUAAAUAUGCAUAUAAUAAUAUUGCAACAUGAUAGAUAUUAUAUAAAUAUAAAUAUAAAUAUUUAUUUAUAUUAAUAUAGAGCAGACUUUAUAAUAUUUAUUUAUUAUAAAGCAUGUCAAACAAGCAUCUAUAGCAUCAAGUCACAAUGUUGGCAUGUGUAUUAUUGAACCUUCAAAGCAUUUACGCAUUCGGAGGAGUAGUUUCUGAUCCCGUCGAAGGUGCCUGAGAGACGGCACUUAGUUCUAAGGAACGCAGCAGGCGCGUAAAUUGCCCAAUGACAAAACAUAUAAUUGAGGCAGUGACAAGCUGUAAAGAUUGAAUAUAUUAAUUAAGAUAACAUUUGGAAUUGUCGCUUUGUAAUAUUUUAAUAUUAUAUUGCUUGAUAAUAUACCAAUGUUAUAAAAUAUUCAAUUUGAAUGCGGUGAAUAUAAUAAUUUCAGGUAACAUGUAUAAAAUAUUUAUUAUUUUAUAUGUUAUCUGAAUAUUCAAGUGGAGGGCAAGUCUGGUGCCAGCAGCCGCGGUAAUACCAGCUCCACUAGCUUAUACAAUCAUUGUUGCGGUUAAGAGGCUCGUAGUUGGAUUGAAUUAACACACAUUACUUUUUGUAAUGUUAAUACUGUGAACAAACCAGAGUGUAUAAAACAUGUAAUAUUAUAUAUAUUAUGCAAUGAAUGUUUUAUCAUGGAAUAUUGUUUAUUUCGAUGGAGAUAGUUGGAGUUAAGAGUACUUAUAGGCGAGCGGUGAAAUGCAUUGACCCUAUUAAGACUAACAAAAGCGAAAGCACUUAACUAGAUUAUACUCUUUGUAUAUUAUUACAAUGAAGAGCGAAGGUUGGGGGAACAAAGAGGAUCAGAUACCCUCGUAGUCCUAUUUUUUACAUCAAACUAUGGGAUUUCAAUUGAAUAAUAUAUUAUUCUUAAUACCCCUAACAUAUUUAAUAUUUAUUGAUUGAGAUAAUUAAUAUAUUUAUCUCUCAUAAAAUAUAAAAUAAUAUAGUGGUACAAUAUUUAUUAUAUGUACUUUGAGCUCAUAUAAUUAAUAUAGGUGAGAUGUAAGCAUUAUAGGUGAACAAUAUAUUUAUAUUAUAAAUAUUAUUGGAAUCCUUAUAAAUAAAUGUAAUGUGAUGCACGUUUUAGGUACGAGCUUACUAUAGAAAUAUUUAAAAUAAUACCCUCCUGGGGUAGUAUGCACGCAAGUGUGAAACUUGAAGGAAUUGACGGAAGGGCACCACAAGAACGCGUGGAGCAUGUGGCUUAAUUUGACUCAACCCGGGAAAUCUUACCAGGUCCAGACAUAUUGAGGAUUGACAGGCGAUAAUCAACAUACAAUUUCUUUGUUGUUGGUAUAAAAAUGAUAGUCCUUUCAUGAUUAUAUGAUAGGUGGUGCAUGGCCGUUCUUAGUUCGUGGAGUGAUUUGUCUGCUUAAUUGCGUUUCAGUAAAUAAAAUAUAUAUAAUGUAUUAAUAUUUUAGUUCUGCCAUUUUUAAUGGAUUUUAAGUGAACAAUAUUAUACAUAUAUAUUAAUAUAUGAAUGCAACGAACGUGACCGUAACCUUUUAUUGCUAUUAUUAAUAUAUUAUAGCAUAAAAUUAAAGGAACCGCUGUCAUUAUUAUAUGUGUUAAAAUAGAGUAAGAAUACGGCAAUAACAGGUCUGUGAUGCCCUCAGAUGUUCUGGGCUGCACACGUGCUACAAUAAUUACAUUAAUAAGUAUAUAUAAUAAAUAUUUAUAUACAUUUAAUGUAUAAUAAUAUUGUAAAACCUAUUUCGAAAGUAAAUCGGUAAUCAUUUAAAAAUCGUAAUAAAUAAUAAUAUAUAUACAUAAUUGUAUAUUUAAUUAAUUUAAGGUGGGGAUAGUGUAUUGUUAAUUAUUACACUUGGCCUUAACUAGGAAUGCCUUGUACUCUUCUUUGGUUUAACAUACCAAGAGGAAUACGUCCCUGCCCUUUGUACACACCGCCCGUCGCUCUUACCGAUGAAUUAUGUUAUAAAUCUAAGGGACUUAUAAUAUUUAUUUUAGGAAACUUAUAUACAUAAUGUGAUUUAAAGGAAAGAGAAGUCGUAACAAGGCAUCAGUAGGUGAACCU